rnacentral:rRNA from 1 species
GACGAGGGGUCCUAGCGUUGCUCGGAAUUAUUGGGCGUAAAGCGGGUGUAGGUGGCUUUGUAAGUCGGGAGUGAAAGCCCCAGGCUCAACCUGGGAAGUGCUCUCGAUACUGCUUAGCUUGAAUGUGGGAGAGGAUGGUAGAAUUCCUGGUGUAGUGGUGAAAUACGUAGAUAUCAGGAGGAACACCGGUGGCGAAGGCGGCCAUCUGGCCCAACAUUGACACUCAGACCCGAAAGCGUGGGGAUCAAACAGGAUUAGAUACCCUGGUAGUCCACGCCGUAAACGAUGGAUACUUGUUGUUGGUGGUAUUGACCCCAUCAGUGACGAAGCAAACGCGUUAAGUAUCCCGCCUGGGAAGUACGGCCGCAAGGUUA